GUGAUUCUCCUCUUCAGCUCCUGAGGUAGCUGGGAUUACAGGUUCAGGAAGACUCAGCUUUUCCAGCAGAAAGGACAAUGAUGCCUCAACAGAGCCGAUGACUCUCGAUGGCCAUGCCACUUAACAAAGCGUGGCCACCCACACGUUCACCUGCAGCCUGAGGAGAGGAACAGCUGCAACACCUGCCAGGGGCUGAGGGGAUGAAGCCCCAGAGGCUGAUCAGAUAUCCUCCUCUGGAAGUGGAGCCACAUGGCCAAUCCACCACCGGACGCAGAUGCAACCUGCCUCUGAGGGGAAGAGGGCCCAGACAUAGGAUGCUGAUAUUGAGAAGAAUGCUGGAAUGAACAUGGCAGUGAAGAUAUCUCUAUGAGUGCUGAUUUCCUUUCCUUUGGAUGCAGACCCAGAGGAGGAAUUGCUGCAUCUUAUGGUACUUCUAACUUUAAUUUCUUUAGGAACCUCCACUUACUGGUGUCAGGUGAUAACUCAUAAUGGUUUUGAUUUGCAUUUCCCUGAUGAUUAGUGACAUUGAGCAUCUUUUCAUUAACCUGUGA